rnacentral:rRNA from 1 species
GACGAACGCUGGCGGCGUGCUUAACACAUGCAAGUCGAACGGUAAGGCCCUUCGGGGUACACGAGUGGCGAACGGGUGAGUAACACGUGGGUGAUCUGCCCUGCACUUCGGGAUAAGCCUGGGAAACUGGGUCUAAUACCGGAUAGGACUCCGGACUGCAUGGUCUGGGGUGGAAAGCUUUUGCGGUGUGGGAUGGGCCCGCGGCCUAUCAGCUUGUUGGGGGGGUGAUGGCCUACCAAGGCGACGACGGGUAGCCGGCCUGGGAGGGUGACCGGCCAAAGUGGGACGGAGGUACGGCCCAGACGCGUAGGGGAGGGAGGAGUGGGGAAGAUUGCCGAAUGGGCGGAAGCCUGAUGCGGGGGCGCCGCGUGAGGGAUGACGGGCUUCGGGUUGUAAACCUCUUUCAGCACAGACGAAGCGCAAGUGACGGUAUGUGCAGAAGAAGGACCGGCCAACUACGUGCCAGCCGCCGCAGUAA